GCACGGACACGACUGGAAACUCAAUUUUUCAAUCUUUCAAGAACCAUAACUCCUGAACGGUAAAAGUCAAAAUCGUCAUUAUUGAACUUGACCUCUAUUUUGUCAUCAGUAACAACAUAUUAAAAUUUGGGAAGCUUUGGUAGAACAGUUCAUGAGUAAAUGCACGGACACGACUGGAAACUCCAUUUUUCAAUCUUUCAAGAACCAUAACUCCUGAACGGUAAAAGUCAAAAUCGCCAUUAUUGAACUUGACCUUCAUUUAGUUGUCAGUAACAACAUAUUAAAAUUUUAAAAGCUUUGGUUGAACGGUUCAUGAGUUAAUGCACGGACAACAUUUGAUUGCCGCCCGCCCGACCGGCCGCCGCCGUACAUCCCCAAAUCAAUAACCGACAUUUUUGUCACAAAAAUCUGG
rnacentral:lncRNA from 1 species